rnacentral:rRNA from 1 species
GCCGCGGGGUGCUAAGGUCCCGCGACGAGAGGGGAAGAACCCGGACCGGCAGCUAAGGUCCCCAAGCGUACGCUAAGUCGAGAAAACGUGGUGCGGCUGCAGUGACAGCUAGGAUGUUGGCUUGGAAGCAGCCAUUCAUUCAAAGAGUGCGUAACAGCUCACUAGUCGAGCGGCCGUGCGUGGAUAAUAAGCGGGCGUCAAGCGUACCACCGAAGCUCCGGAUUGGCUCCU